rnacentral:ncRNA from 2 species
UGGAGAGGUAGAGGCGCGGUCUGUCAAGAGUACCUGGAGGAGUCCGACGGUGGACGAUGAUACCGGAGGGAAAGGGGCAACCGCCGAAGCUUGGAGCAACCGUAUUGCUCACAGGCUGGGUCCGGGCAUAAGAUGUUCGGAACUGCCAUCUGGUGAUUCGACCGGAUGGAGCGCUAUCCAAUCG